rnacentral:rRNA from 1 species
GACGAACGCUGGCGGCGUGCUUCAUACAUGCAAGUCGAACGAUAAGUUACCUUCGGGUAAUGGACAGUGGCGGACGGGUGAGUAAAAUGUAGAGAAUCUGCCUUUGAGAGGGGGACAACAGUUGGAAACGAUUGCUAAUACCCCAUAUGAGGUAUCCUGAGAUGGAUAUCUUGAAAACUCCGGUGCUCAAAGAUGAGCCUGCAUCUGAUUAGCUGGUUGGUGGGGUAACGGCCCACCAAGGCGACGAUCAGUAGCCGGCCUGAGAGGGUGAACGGCCACAUUGGGACUGAGACACGGCCCAG